CUUGACCGACCCGAGCAGCAGCGGGCGAUCCGGGUCCCGGUCCCGGCCGUACGUCGCCAGCAGCGCCUGCGCCUC
rnacentral:antisense_RNA from 1 species